AACGAACGCUGGCGGCAGGCCUAACACAUGCAAGUCGAGCGAGGACUUCGGUCCUAGCGGCGGACGGGUGAGUAACGCGUGGGAACGUGCCCUUUGGUACGGAAUAGCCCCGGGAAACUGGGAGUAAUACCGUAUGGUGUCUUCGGACUAAAGAUUUAUCGCCAAAGGAUCGGCCCGCGUUGGAUUAGGUAGUUGGUGGGGUAAUGGCCUACCAAGCCGACGAUCCAUAGCUGGUUUGAGAGGAUGAUCAGCCACACUGGGACUGAGACACGGCCCAGACUCCUACGGGAGGCAGCAGUGGGGAAUCUUAGACAAUGGGGGCAACCCUGAUCUAGCCAUGCCGCGUGAGUGAUGAAGGCCCUAAGGGUUNUAAGCUCUUUCAGCUGGGAAGAUAAUGACGGUACCAGC
rnacentral:rRNA from 1 species